AAUUAAUAUAAUUGUUUUAUAUAUUUUUUAUUUAUAAAUAUAAAUUAAAUAAAUUUAAGUUAUUGUAAUAUUAAUUGAUAUAAUAAUUUAUACUAUAGUUAAUUAGUACUGUGUAGGAACAUAUUUAAUGAAUAAUUUAAUAUUUAUUAAAGUUGAUUUUAUUAAUUUUAUCUUGUGUAUCAGAGUAUAUCUAAAUUAAUUAUAUAAUUUUAUUUUUCUCGAAUUUAAAAGAUUUAAUUAAGUAAUUUAGUUAUUGUUUCAUAAAUAUUAAUAAUGCUUAAUUGGUAAUGAAAUGUUAAUCGUUUUUAAGGAUAUCUAGUUUUUUAAUAAAUGAAUUUAAUUCAGGUUGCAUAAAUUAUUUAAUAUUUAAAUAUUUAAAUAUUUUAUGUUUCUAAUUUUUAAAGGGAUUAACUUUUAAAAAUAAAAUUAUAAUAAUAAUAUUUAUUUGGGAUUACGUGAAUUUAGAAUUUGUUACUGAUUUAAAUAUGUUAUAAUUUAAUUCUUUUUUUAUGAAAUUUUAAAUUUUUAUUUAAUUUUUAUAUUAAAAAUUAAACUUUAAUUUUUAUUUUUUAGUUUAAAUGAUAUAAUUAGUAAAUUUGAAUUUUAUUUUAUUAAUUUUUAUUUAAUGCUAAUAUAAAGAAUUAGGCAAAUAUUUCACUCACCUGUUUAUUAAAAACAUGGUUUCUUGUAUUUAUUUAAGAGAUCUGGCCUGCCCACUGAAUUUUUAAAGGGCCGCAGUAUUUUGACUGUGCAAAGGUAGCAUAAUAAUUAGUCUUUUAAUUGAAGGCUGGUAUGAAUGGUUGGAUGAGGUGAAUACUGUUUUAUAUUAAUUAUAAUUGAAUUUAGGAUUUAAGUAAAAAUACUUAAAUUAUAUUAAGGGACGAGAAGACCCUAUAGAGUUUAAUAAAUUAAUUAAUUAAUUGAGUUAAUAAAAAAAUUUUUGGUUAUUAUGAUAUUUAUUUAGUUGGGGUGAUUAAAAGAUAAGUAAAACUCUUUUUUAUUUUUAAUUUUAUUUUUAGUUUUUAGAUCCAUAAUUAAUGAUUAUAAGAUUAAAUUACCUUAGGGAUAACAGCAUAAUUUCUUUUGAGAGUUCAUAUCGAAAAAGAAGAUUGUGACCUCGAUGUUGGAUUAAGAUUAGUUUAGGGUGUAGAUGUUUAUAAACUAGGUCUGUUCGACCUUUAAAAUCUUACAUGAUCUGAGUUUAAACCGGCGUGAGCCAGGUUGGUUUCUAUCUUUAAUUUUAUUAAAUAUUUUAGUACGAGAGGACCAAAUAUUUAAAAUAAUUUUUAUUUAAUGAAUAUUAUUAAUUC
rnacentral:rRNA from 1 species